UCCUCGUUUAAGCGAGGCAGUCUGUCCAGAGUGCUCCCUUCUCUCGAAGGGGUGGCAACAGGACACAAGGGUUGCGCUCGUUGCGGGACUUAACCCAACAUCUCACGACACGAGCUGACGACAGCCAUGCAGCACCUGUGUUCCUCCCACCCGAAGUGAAGGAUCUCCUUUCAGAGAUCCAUAGAGGACAUGUCGAAUCCUGGUAAGGUUCUUCGCGUUGCCUCGAAUUAAACCACAUGUUCCACCGCUUGUGCGGGUCCCCGUCAAUUUCUUUGAGUUUUAAUCUUGCGACCGUACUCCCCAGGCGGGGUGCUUAACGCGUUAGCUGCGCUACUCAGGGGUAACCCCCGAACAGCUAGCACCCAUCGUUUACAGCACGGACUAC
rnacentral:misc_RNA from 1 species